CUAAAUGCCAUUCCAACUAAUGUAUAAUAAAAUAUUUAAAUCAAUCUAUUCAGGCUUCGUUUGAAAUUGCGAAAAAAUUACGUUAUAUGCUGUGAGAAAGUGCGAUAAAAAAAAUACCAUAUUUAUUUUCUUACGUAAUAUUGUGUUUCGUAUAUCGCGAUGAGUCGGUUAUAAUAUAUUUUCUGUGAUUCCAUAAAAAAUACAGUAGUAUAUCCCUAUAUAUUUUUAUCUUAACUUUAUUUUUUAUCUAAUAGCGUCAGAUAGAUCUCAAUACCAAACUAAAGUAAAGGAGUGAGUUGGAAAUAUUGGG
rnacentral:lncRNA from 1 species